GAUGAACGCUGGCGGCGUGCUUAACACAUGCAAGUCGAACGGAUAAGCAGAGCUUGCUCUGUGGAUCAGUGGCGGACGGGUGAGUAACACGUGAGAAACUUCCCCCUUGCGCUGGGAUAAGCCCUGGAAACGGCGUCUAAAACGCGAUAUUAGCGGCGACGGCAUGGUGGGCUGUUCGGAAGAUUUGUCGGUCUGGGAUGGGCUCACGGCCUAUCAGCUUGUUGGGGGGGUAAUGGCCCAACAAGGCGUCGACGGGUAGCCCGCCUGGGAGGGUGACCGGCCACACUGGGACUGAGAGACGGCCCAGACUGCUACGGGAGGCAGCAGUGGGGAAUAUUGCACAAUGGGCGAAAGCCUGAUGCAGCAACGCCGCGUGAGGGAUGACGGCCUUCGGGUUGUAAACCGCUUUUAGCAGGGAAGAAGCGAAAGUGACGGUACCUGCAGAAAAAGCGCCGGCUAACUACGUG
rnacentral:rRNA from 1 species